rnacentral:lncRNA from 1 species
AACGGAGGCAGAGCCCUCAGCGGAGAACUGGGCUCUCCCACGUCCCUAGGAAAGGAAGCAGAAGGCCAAGGAUGACAGGGAAGCUGGAUUCUGGCAACUGGAGAAGCUUUUGUUUUUAUCCUCCAUGUCAUGACAUAUUGAAAGCAGGAUUAAAUAUUCAGCAGAGUUAUGCAAUCUUCAGAAUGGAUGCCAGGAAA